CCUACGGGAGGCAGCAGUGGGGAAUAUUGGACAAUGGGGGCAACCCUGAUCCAGCGACGCCGCGUGAGUGAAGAAGUAUUUCGGUACGUAAAGCUCUAUCAGCAGGAAAGAAAAUUACGGUACCUGACUAUGAAGCCCCGGCUAACUACGUGCCAGCAGCCGCGGUAAUACGUAGGGCGCAAGCGUUAUCCGGAUUUACUGGGUGUAAAGGGAGCGUAGACGGCUGCGCAUGUCUGGAGUGAAAUGCCGGGGCUCAACCCCGGAACUGCUCUGGAAACUGUGAAGCUGGAGUGCAGGAGAGGUAAGCAGAAUGCCUGGUGUAGCGGUGAAAUGCGUAGAUAUCAGGAGGAACACCGGCGGCGAAGGCGGCUUACUGGACUAUAACUGACGUUGAGGCUCGAAGGCGUGGGGAGCAAACAGGAUUAGAUACCCUAGUAGUC
rnacentral:rRNA from 1 species